rnacentral:tRNA from 1 species
GCGGACGUGGUGGAAUUGGUAUACACAACAGACUUAAAAUCUGUCGCCACUGGCUUACGGGUUCGAGUCCCGUCGUCCGCA